rnacentral:rRNA from 1 species
UACGAAGGUGGCAAGCGUUACUCGGAAUUACUAGGCGUAAAGGGCAGGUAGGUGGUUCGAUAAGUCUGUUGUGAAAGCUCCCGGCUCAACUGGGAGAGGCCAACAGAAACUAUCGGGGCUUGAGUAUGGGAGAGGGUACUGGAAUUCCCGGUGUAGCGGUGAAAUGCGCAGAGAUCGGGAGGAACACCAAUGGCGAAAGCAGGUACCUGGACCAUUACUGACACUCAACUGCGAAAGCUAGGGGAGCAAACAGG